GUCUAUUUACGUAAUGAACUUUACGUAAUCACUGGGUCUAGUAGCUUGAACUUUAAACUCCUGCCUAAACACAGCCUUCUGUGGGAACUUCUCCUUGUUUUUCUUAUAGGCUUUAGAACCAUGGCCUUUUGACACUCCUCCAUAUUUACUUUUUUAUUCUGCUCAUGUAUUCAAUAAAGAUCCAUUCAGCACCUCUCUGUGUCGAGUACGGGGCUAGGCAGUAGUGGACAGACGGACAAACCUGCGCUCAAGCUGCUCACCAUCUGGUGGGAGAAGAACGUCAGGACAAACGAAUCAAGGUCAGGCAUUAACAAGGUCGGAGGGCUUGUGCUGCGGUCCAGAGCAGUCAACUCUCUUCUCACAAACGUCGCAGCACUACGUUGGUUCCACACCUCCUCCUCGGCUCCCUCUCUGCUGCAUUUUCCCCCUGUGGUUUUUUUCCCCUCAGUCAAUUAAAUAAUUUGGCUGCAUUGUCUUAGUUGUGGCACACGGAUCUGUUUUUUCUCUCUUUUUUUAAAUUAUGAGAGUAUGAUAACACAUUUACAGAAGGCUUGGAAAGUCCAGAACUAAGUUAUGUAUAGUUCCACUAUUUGGUUCAGUUCAGUUGCUCAGUCGUGUCUGACUUUCUGAACCACGGACUGCAGCACGCUAGGCCUCCCUGUCCAUCCCCAACUCCCAGAGCCUGCUCAAACUCAUGUCCAUCGAGUAGGUGAUGCCAUUCAACCAUCUCAUCCUCUGUCACCCCCUUCUCCUCCCGCCUUCCAUCUUGCCCAGCAUCAGGGUCUUUUCUAAUGACUCAUUUCUUUGAAUCAGGUGGCCAAAGCAUUAGAGUUUCAGCUUAGCAUCAGUCCUUCCAAUGAAUAUUCGGGACUGAUUUUCUUUAGCAUUGACUAGUUUGAUCUCCUUGCAAUCCAAGGGACUCUUAAGAGUCUUCCAAUACCACAUUUCAAAAGCAUCA
rnacentral:lncRNA from 1 species